rnacentral:rRNA from 1 species
GCUGGCGGCGUGCCUAAUACAUGCAAGUCGAGCGAAUCUUUGGGAGCUUGCUCCCAUUGGUUAGCGGCGGACGGGUGAGUAACACGUGGGCAACCUGCCUGUAAGACUGGGAUAACUUCGGGAAACCGGAGCUAAUACCGGAUAAUCUUUUUCCUCUCAUGAGGAAAAACUGAAAGACGGUUUCGGCUGUCACUUACAGAUGGGCCCGCGGCGCAUUAGCUAGUUGGUGAGGUAACGGCUCACCAAGGCGACGAUGCGUAGCCGACCUGAGAGGGUGAUCGGCCACACUGGGACUGAGACACGGCCCAGACUCCUACGGGAGGCAGCAGUAGGGAAUCUUCCACAAUGGACGAAAGUCUGAUGGAGCAACGCCGCGUGAGCGAUGAAGGCCUUCGGGUCGUAAAGCUCUGUUGUUAGGGAAGAACAAGUAUCGGAGUAACUGCCGGUACCUUGACGGUACCUAACCAGAAAGCCACGGCUAACUACGUGCCAGCAGCCGCGGUAAUACGUAGGUGGCAAGCGUUGUCCGGAAUUAUUGGGCGUAAAGCGCGCGCAGGCGGUCCUUUAAGUCUGAUGUGAAAGCCCACGGCUCAACCGUGGAGGGUCAUUGGAAACUGGGGGACUUGAGUGCAGAAGAGGAAAGCGGAAUUCCACGUGUAGCGGUGAAAUGCGUAGAGAUGUGGAGGAACACCAGUGGCGAAGGCGGCUUUCUGGUCUGUAACUGACGCUGAGGCGCGAAAGCGUGGGGAGCAAACAGGAUUAGAUACCCUGGUAGUCCACGCCGUAAACGAUGAGUGCUAAGUGUUAGGG